rnacentral:lncRNA from 1 species
GGACACAAUACCUUUAUUUAUUUAUCUUUAUGUGGUGCUAAGGAUCGAACUCAGGGCCCCACACAAGCUAGGUGAGUGCUGUACCACUAGCCACAACCCCAGCCCCUCUUUGUGCUUUCUUGAAAUGCCAUCUCUUUUCUCAGAGUGGGCUCAUCGCCUCCCCUUUUUCUGAACUGUAUUGUUUCCCAGAAUUACCUCAGGAAAUGCUCUCUGGAGACUAGACCCACUCUAGCGCAGAAAGAAGGCAUUCCUAGAGAACACAUCUCCACUCACUCACCUGGCCAAAACCGUUAGACUGUGCUAGCUGCUCUGAGGAAAACAGAAGGAAUUAUAACCCAGUCAUUCUUAAAAGCCUUGCAUCUUGGGCUGAGGAUAUGACUCAGUGGUUGAGCACUUGUCUGGCAUGAGCAAGGCCCCAGAACCUCUUAAAAAAAGAGAGAGAGAGAGCAUAUGUAUGAACCCCAGCAUCUCUUUGGGAUUGAUACAUAUUCUCAGGAAAGAGUUAUCAUUUUAUUAUAAAACAUACAAUGCAAAACUUGUGCUUCAAGCUGGAAGGGAGGAGGCAGACUGCUGAACAAUGGAAGGAGAAGGAGGGAGGUGGUGCAGGUCAUAGGUGAACUCAGCAAAAGGAGAGAUUAUGGGUGCUUCGGACACUCGGCCACUUGCUGGGUCUCUAUCAAGGGCAGCUCUUGUAGUUUGGUUGAAGGCUGGGAUAGCUGCCUGAACACCUGGGUAUUUUCUGGAUAUGUUGAAGGCCACAGAAUGUUAAUAGAAGGAGUGUAUGAACCAGGGUAUAACCACUGGUUCUCAAAUACUGAUGGGCAUUUUCCCAGCCUCCAGAGAUUCCAUUUCCAUAGAUGGAGGGCCCAGAAACCUGCAUGUAAAAACACCGCAGGGGCUGCUUAUUGGUAUGGCACGUACCUGAGCAAGUAUGCUAAUAAGUUGUACAGUAUGUACCUAUCAUGCAUAGGCCCCAAGUUCAACACCCAGCAAGAAAAAGAAUAGAAGAAAAGAACCUUUGAUCAUUGCAGUAUAGACAGUUUGCAGACCCAUAUUUUGGGAAGCGCUGGCAUAGGCAUUUAAUAAUUGCUAGAGACAUAAAUAUGGCCCUGGUAGGGUAUGAGAGGCUCCCAAAAGGGUUCAGCCAUGUUCAGGCCACUCUUAUAGGCCAAUAUAUAUAUAUAUCAAUAAGAGGCUGUGCUCGACACGGGCCUGGCUUCCCUGAGCUUUGUCUCUAGCAAGGGAUAUGACAAAUAAUUAUCAAAAGUGCCCUAAGAGAAGUACAAGGUGGGGAUCUAAAGGAUGAAGAGAUAUGUUUUUUACAACAUAUAUAUGUGUGUCUAUAUAGAUUUUUUUUAAUUUUUAAGGUGCUAAGGAUUGAAUCCAAGGCCUCACACACAAUCUACCACUGAGCUAUACCCCCAGCCAUAAAUAUAUAUAUUGAACCCAGGGGCACUUCACAACUAAGCCACAUCCCAGCCCUUUUUUUAUUAUUAUUAUUAUUAUUAUUAUUAUUAUUUUGAGACAGGGUCUCGCUAAGUUGCAGAAGGCUGGUGUUACUUGUGACCCACCUGCCUCAGUUCCCCAAGUCUCUGGAAUCACAAGUGUGUGCCACUGCACCUGGCUAGUCUUCAUUUUUUUUUUUUUUUUUUUGGUACCAGGGAUUGAACUCAGGUACUCAACCACUGAGCCACAUCCCCAGCUCUUUUUGUAUUUUAUUUAGAGACAGGGUCUCCCUGAAUUGAUCAGGGCCUCCUUAAGUUGCUGAGGCUGGCUUUGAACUCACUAUCCUCCUGCCUCAGCCUCUCAAGCUGCUGGGAUUACAGGUGUGCGCCACCAUUUUAUUCCCUCUCCCUGGUCUCUAAAACUUUUCAGAUUUAUUUUAUUUGUUAAUUUGGGGUUUUGUUUAUUUGUUUAUUUAUUUCAGUGCAGAGCCUCACACAUCUAGGCAAGCAAGCAUUCUAUCACUGAGCUACGCCGCAGUCCUUGGAUUUUUAAGUUAUCAUGUGUGAGGAAUGUGCUGUUUGCCAAAUCUUUAAAUAUUACACCUUCGCUCACGCAUGUUUACUGAGCACUUUUUAAUGUAGUAGACACUAAAUAGAUUAAUAUUUGUGGGACGGGAUGAAUGAACUACCUCCCUUCCAGUAGGUUCUAAGGAGAGGAGACACAAAAAAGAAAUCAGAGCCUGGUAUGGUGGCUCAGGCCUGAAAACCCCAGUGACUCAAGAAGCUGAGGCAGGAGGAUCACAAGUUCAAGGCCAGUCUGGGCAGUUUAGAAAGACCCUGACUCAAAAAAUAAAGGGCUGGAGAUGUAGUUCAGUGGUAGAACACCCUGGGUCUAAUCCCCAGUACUGAACAGGAAAAAUGAAGGAAGGAAGAAAUGAGAUAGUGAUCUGAGGAAGACUGGGAAGUGCAGUGGCCACAGCAGUCAGCAGUGAGGGGUGGAGAGACCAGGCAAUGCAUGGCCUUUGACUCCCUAACCAAGAUUGCCAAGGCCCCCGCAGGCUAGGAAUAUGGAAAGCUAGGCUUUAAUCAGGGAAGGAUUUGUAAAAUCCCUAACAUGCCAACCAGAGUAAGAACCAGAUGUGCCACUCAGUUGUCUGUGAACUCCAGAAAACACAGGCUCUGGACAGGGAAGGCCCUGCCUUGUGGGUAGAAGGUGAAAGCCAUGUGCCAAGCUGGUGUAGGAUGGGGAGGAGAAAGGAGGGAGCCAGGUACUGACCCCCCCUCCUAUUCUUCCUCCAUCGCCACCAGAAAGAGCACCCUAGGAUGUAGAUCUGAUCGCCAGUCCCCUGUACUUAACCACAUUGUCUUGUUCCUGGGAGGCAAUACUUUCCACCUGUAUUGUCAAGUUUAUUUUUAGAACCCCUUGCUAGUGACCUGGUGUCUUUUUCAUAGCUUUCAAAACACAGUAGUAAAAAAAUCCUCAAAAUGAAGAGACAUAAGAAGGCUUAGCAAUGCUUUUGGUGAUUUUAUCUGGUCUGCAAACUCAUGCUUCCACUACAGCUUUGAAUAAACAGAAGCAAGAGAGGUGCAAAUUUGGUGAAUACAUUCAGUUCUGAAGCUGUGUUCCAAGGGACCCCAGGUCACUGAUGUGAACUCUCAGAGUUGCCAUGAAUUUUUUUAACUUUAAAAGGAAAUACAGUGAUACUGAAUACCUGUCUUGUACUGCUCAGUUAGCUCAAGACAGCUAAAUUUUGUUGGGUAAAGUGGUGCACACCUAUAAUCCCAGAGACUCAGGAGUCUGAGAGAGAAAGAUCACAAGUUUGAGGCCAGCCUCAGCAACUGUGCUCAGUGAGUAAAACCCUGUCUCAAAAUUAAAAAUUAAAAAAAAAAAAGGCUGGGGAUAUGUGGCUCAGUGGUAAAGCACCCCUGGGUUCAAUCCCUUGUACCAAAAAAAAAGUUUCAAAAUCAGGCCAUGCUACAAAAUUCUCUGUGAUGCAAUAUCUCUAGUGAUCAGGCUUUCAGAGAUUUUAGUGAUAGGAAGCAAGUUCCCAGACAAAAUCAACAUGAAUAAGAAAUAAGGGUGUGAUAUCCUGUCUGAUCUCAAAGUUUGGGAAGAUGUACAGUGCCCAGAAAUCACAAACCAUGCAGGCGCUAUUCAUUGUGCUUUAAAAAUUAAGUAAAAAGCCAAGCAUGGUGGCAUACAUCUAUAAUCCCAAUGAUCCAGAAGCUCAGGAGAUUUCCAAGUUCAAGGGCAGCCUUAUAACUUAGAACUUAUCUCAAAAUAAAAAAUAGAACAGACUGGAGAUGUAGCUUAGUGGUAGAGCACCCCUGGGUUCAAUUCCUAGUAACAAAAAAUAAAAAUGUUCUCUCAAUUUAUGUGGCUUACACACACACACACAAAAAAAAAAUUAAAGCUAUUAAGGAGCUUAAUAAGUUGUUUGGACCUACUUACUAAAGAAAGAGAAGUGCUUAUUUUGGCUUGGGUGCACCAUGAAAAAAUUAUGGAGAUACUAAGAUGGCUAUGAAGGGAGACAGUGUGGGAACUCCAGCAAUGCUGUAGUUUUAGAAUAUACCUGUUAUGACUGGGGAGAUAGCUUAGCAGCAGAGAACUUGCCUAGGUUCCAUCUCCCCAGCAUCACAAAAAAUAAAUAAAAUACACCUGUCAGAGGAUUAGAAGCACACAUACAUCAUUGUCACUGGCAUUGACUGCCCUCUGGACUUCUGGACUUUGUUGCAAUGGCAACAGAUAGGCAUUGACACUUUUGGAUCCUGAGACAGCACUUGAUUCCAUGAAAUGAUUUUUGAAUUCUUGCACUUAUUAAAGGAAAUGUAUUCAAAAAAAAGGUGCCUCCUAAAAUCUCUUAGAAUGGCUCUUUAAGUGAUUUAACUUAUUUAAAACAUUCCCGAAACAGCUCUUCUUCAUUAUGAGAGGAUAAGCCAAAUUAUUGUCACUCAAAUGUUUAAUAUAGAUUAUAAUUAUUACUUUCACUUCAAGCUAAAUUAUGUGCCUCAGAAAUAUACAGUAUGCUAUCUGAAUAUUUUAUUGGGCUCAGGACACCCCUGUAUAAUCAGGUUGUAGAUAAUGGAUGUGUCUACUUACAGAACUUGAAAUUUCACUUUAUUCAUGUACUACAGACAUGGAGAGUGGUCAUUUAUGUCAUGGUGCGUUUUGGCCAUGCACAUUGUUUUGUCCACUCCUUGGUCAGGCUUAGAAUCCAAAUCAUGUCUUCUGGCAGAUGCAUACCAACUACUGGGGAUGCUAGAGAUCAAACCCACAGCCUCAAGCGUGCUAAGCAUAUGCUCUGUCAUCAGCUCAGCUCCAGCCCCCCAACCAACUUUGAAUUUACUUACAUUCAGCAACAAUAUACAAUUCAGUAUAAUUAAGCCACAAUUAUAACAAGUUUCUUUUGGAGGAUUCCAAGAAAGUAAAAACAAAUUUACUUAAAAGUAGAUAUUUUGUUGUGCAUGAUGGUGCAUACUUAUAGUCCCAACUACCCAGGAGGCUGAGUGGGGAGGAUGGCUUGAGCCCAGGAGUUCACACCAGCCUCAGCAACAUAGUUGGAUCCUGUCUUAAAAAAAAAAAAAAAAAAAAAAGAUAUUUUAUGAUAUUGAAAUGAUUUUUUGAUCCUAGUGACAAACAUUUCCAGGCUGCAAAUGAUGGUGUAUUGCACCAAAUUCUAGAUCACCAGUUGUGGAUUUAGUGGUAUGCCAAGGAAUACAGAGCUGACAACAUCCCUGAUGAAUAAGCACCUGGAUCCCACUGUACCUGAAACUGCCAUGUUAGAACAUCCUAGUCAUAACAAAUCCCCUUUUCUCAUAAACUAAUUUGCAACUGAGACCUAAUGGAUAUAUGGAUUUCUGUCUUGCCUUUUUUUUUCCUUAUUUGCUUUCUCUAUUCCUACUUCUCUCUCUCCCUCCCUCUCUUCCUUCCUUCCUAUCUCCCUCUCUCUUUCUUCCUCUUUCUUUUAAUUUGCUUCCCUAUAAAAAUUCAUAUGCUCACUUUAAAAAAUUUAAAACACACUGAAUCAAUCUUAAGAAGAAAAGUUACAUGGGCUGGGGAUGUGGCUCAAGCAGUAGCGCGCUCGCCUGGCAUGUGUGCGGCCCGGGUUCGAUCCUCAGCACCACAUACAAACAAAGAUGUUGUGUCUACCGAUAACUAAAAAAUAAAUAUUAAAAUUUUAAAAAAGAAGAAGAAAAGUUACAGACCCUCUUCUCCAAGGGAAGUGGGAGAGGGAAGAAAAGGAGGAAAGUUAACAAUCCUAUUACCAAGAGGCGACAUCUCAGGAGAUUGCCUUCCUAGCUUUUCUUUCUUUCUUUCUUUCUUUUUUCUUUCUUUCUUUAUCAUUAUACGAUAUUGUAGAUACCAUUUUCAUUUCUUUUUUCUUUUUUUAUUAUUUUUUGUAGUUGUAGAUAGACUGCCUUUAUUUUAUUUAUUUUCCUGUGGUGCUGAGGAUCAAACCCAGUGCCUCACUGUGCUCAGUGAGCACUCUGCCACUGAGCCACAGCCAAGCCCUGUAGACACAAUUUUCUGUCAACUUCUUUUCUCUUGACAUUUUAAAAUAAGCUUAUUUUAUAGCUUAUUUUCCCCCAUUAUUCAAAACUACUUGUAGUUCUGGAAGGAAGGGCACAUGCCCCACAAUAAACAUUAAUGUGUUAAUUCCAGAAAGGGUGGCUGCACUAAAAAUGGAUUGGAGAAUACAGUGAGCCUAGAACAUGUCUAUAUAUUUAAAAAGAAUCUUCAGGGCUGGAGUUGUGGCUCAGUGGUAGAGCACUCACCUAGCAUGUGUGCACCCUGGGUUCGAUCCUCUGUACCACAUAAAACUAAAUAUAGGUAUUGUGUCCAACUACAACUAAAAAUAAAUAUUAAAAAUAAUAAUAGAAUCUUCAAUCAUUGGCGCACACCUGUAAUCCCAGCAAUUAGGGAGGCUGAGCCAGGAAGACUCCAAGGUAGAGGCCAGCCUGAGCUAUUUAGUGAGACCCUAUCUCAAAAAAAGAACUGGGAGGUAACUCUGUGGUAGAGUUCCCCUGGGAUGGAUGGAUGGAUGGGUGAGAAUGGAUAGAUAGGUAGAUAGAUAGAUAUUCAGUUCUUUGUAAACAUUGCUCUGUCCCCUGAGUGGUUAUACUGUUAGUCACUUGCCCACUUCCUGACUGUCAAAUACGUGGCAUGUUUCUAAUUGUUUAUUCUGCUCAAUAUCACUACUGUGUACAUCUUCGAGUCUAUUCUAACUUUAUACCUUGGAUGGUUCUUGUCAGUGGAAUUUCUAGUUAAAAAAUAUGUAUAGGUCUGGGAUUGUGGCUCAGCGUAGAGCGCUCGCCUAGCAUGAGCGGGACCCGGGUUCGAUUCUCAGCACCACAUAAAAAUAAAGACAUUGUGUUGUGUCCAUCUACAC